UCCUAGGAACUGCAAGGCAAAAAAAGCAUCCUUUUACAAGAGCUUUUACUUAGACAUUUCACUGUUGCCCUUUGGGCUUCAAUCUGUGGGGAAAAAAAAAGUUGCUAUUUCUCUUCUUACCAUGUAAAAUGCCAGUGCAAAAAUGUUGCUAGAUAGCAAAAUUCAGGAAAGAAAAUCUGAGUUAUUCCCAUCAGCACAUAAGAUUUACAUUAUUUUGGGGAGUAUUUAUUAGAAAACAUAGCAGAGCUCUUAUCAUAGUCCUUGGUGCGAUGAAAACUUCUGUGGAAGCCCUGAGUAGCAGCAAAAGAAAAGAAACAAAGCCAUAUACAAGUUAUCGUGGGUGAUGUGUUUUGAAUGUUGAUGCUAAAAAACUCACAGUAAAUUAUAACUAAGCAAUUUGUGUUCCCGUGCUGGGAAACGAGGCAGAGCAGCCCUAGCAGCUGGAACUGCUUUACAGCCUCAGAACCUGUUCCAAGAGUCAUCAGCAAUGGAGAGCUUUGUGAGGACAGAUAUAUGUCUGUACAUAUGGGAACCUGUGACAUUUUAAGUUCAGUACUUAACUACCAGCUUGGUAUCCCACUGUGUUAUCUGCGCUGCCACUUCCGAAAAAUUGCUCAUCAGAUUCCUAGAGACAUCCUGCUCGAGACACCACAGACCUCAUUCAUUUCUCCCAAACCCAUCCCCUGGGCAGAGCUGCAAGUUUCUCAAGACUGAAGGAGCUUGGCUCCUAAAGCCAAAGCUUUCCACUCCAGGGUUACUCAUCUGGGUCCUGAUAUUGCUUGUUCUAGCCUUAAGUAGAGAGAGAUCUCUACUUCAUCCUUUCUCUUCGAAGUCUCAAAAACAUUAUGGAAUAUAACAUUUUAAAGCAUAAGUUUUGUUCCAAAUAUCCCCCUAUUUAUACACAGGUUCUCUCCUCUAUGCAUUAAACUUCCACAGCAA